UUGCUUUCCCCGAUUCAUAUGAAUACUUUUUAAGUUAUCCACCAAAGCACAUUAAUUAAAUCAAUCAAAUUGUUAGAAUACAACUAAUUUAUAUAUAAUUUUAUUUUAAAUUAAAUUAUUUAAAAAGUGUAUUUUCAUUAAACAAAAAUAAUAAAUAAGUAAAACUGAUUUGAUGAUAAUUUUUAUGACAUAUAUAUAUAUAUAUAUUAUGUGAAAAAAUAUAAGCUUAAUAAGGAAAAAAAUCUUAAAUACAAAAAAACUCUGAAAUUAACAAAAAAACUAAUAAAAAUUAAACUACGAUAUCAAUUGAAAGCUUCUUAGACAAUAUUAAUAAAAUAUUUAAGCGAUAAAAGGGGGAUAUAAGCUCUCCUUAGAGUGUCCACGUAGGCACAAAAAAUCGUCCAAUCAAAAAGUCCGAAGUUGCCACGUCAUCACAUUUAUUUUUUGUAAAAAUGAAAAAACAAUGCAAAGGUAAGGAUCAAACCCGGGUUAGUAUGACAUAAAUAUAUGGCAGAUACCACUAAGCCAUUGAAACUUUCUUGGACACAUAUACAAGAAUCACUAAAUAUGUAACCACACUCUUAUGUACAUUUACAAUAAUAUGGAUUCAACUUUCAAGACUCCGAUGCUUUGUUUUAUAAAAAAAAAAAGUAAGUGACUAAGCUAAUAUAUUCUUUGAAAGUGUGAGAACAUUGACAAAUAUGAAAAAACAUAGAUUUUUAUUUUCGUGACAAAGUUAACAAUUUUGUAAAAGUAAGUAUAACAGAUAAAUUUUCGUGACAAAUAUGAAAAAGCAUAGAUUUUUGUACAAUUUUGACAAAACAACUUAAAACAUAGUUCUUUAAUGUCUUAAUAAAAUAUUAUUUAAGGGUGCAAUAAUUAAAUAUGUCAAUUCAAUAAAUUUUGUAAUUUAUAGACAAAACAAUAACACAACAAAUUUUGAAACAUUUGUUUAACCUAUCGAUUUCUUUUCAUGAGAAUUCAACUAAACAAGAUAAAAAACAAUUAGAUUUAUUUAAUUACCAUUUUAUUCAAUUUUGAUUAAUUUCAAAUUGUAAUAAUGUAUCUUUUUGAAGUUACAAAAAAAUAAAGUAUUUUCUUUAUUACACUAGCAUUAUAUAUAGAUUCCAUAUACACAAAUAAAUAUAAUAUAACAACAUAAGCUUGCUUUCCCCGAUUCAUAUGAAUACUUUUUAAGUUAUCCACCAAAGCACAUUAAUUAAAUCAAUCAAAUUGUUAGAAUACAACUAAUUUAUAUAUAAUUUUAUUUUAAAUUAAAUUAUUUAAAAAGUGUAUUUUCAUUAAACAAAAAUAAUAAAUAAGUAAAACUGAUUUGAUGAUAAUUUUUAUGACAUAUAUAUAUAUAUAUAUAUAUAUUAUGUGAAAGAAAUAUAAGCUUAAUAUGGAAAAAAAUCUUAAAUACAAAAAAACUCUGAAAUUAACAAAAAAACUAAUAAAAAUUAAACUACGAUAUCAAUUGAAAGCUUCUUAGACAAUAUUAAUAAAAUAUUUAAGCGAUAAAAGGGGGAUAUAAGCUCUCCUUAGAGUGUCCACGUAGGCACAAAAAAUCGUCCAAUCAAAAAGUCCGAAGUUGCCACGUCAUCACAUUUAUUUUUUGUAAAAAUGAAAAAACAAUGCAAAGGUAAGGAUCAAACCCGGGUUAGUAUGACAUAAAUAUAUGGCAGAUACCACUAAGCCAUUGAAACUUUCUUGGACACAUAUACAAGAAUCACUAAAUAUGUAAUCACACUCUUAUGUACAUUUACAAUAAUAUGGAUUCAACUUUCAAGACUCCGAUGCUUUGUUUUAUAAAAAAAAAAAGUAAGUGACUAAGCUAAUAUAUUCUUUGAAAGUGUGAGAACAUUGACAAAUAUGAAAAAUCGUAGUUUUUUAUUUUCGUGACAAAGUUAACAAUUUUGUAAAAGUAAGUAUAACAGAUAAAUUUUCGUGACAAAUAUGAAAAAGCAUAGAUUUUUGUACAAUUUUGACAAAACAACUUAAAACAUAGUUCUUUAAUGUCUUAAUAAAAUAUUAUUUAAGGGUGCAAUAAUUAAAUAUAUCAAUUCAAUAAAUUUUGUAAUUUAUAGACAAAACAAUAACACAACAAAUUUUGAAACAUUUGUUUAACCUAUCGAUUUCUUUUCAUGAGAAUUCAACUAAACAAGAUAAAAAACAAUUAGAUUUAUUUAAUUACCAUUUUAUUCAAUUUUGAUUAAUUUCAAAUUGUAAUAAUGUAUCUUUUUGAAGUUACAAAAAAAUAAAGUAUUUUCUUUAUUACACUAGCAUUAUAUAUAGAUUCCAUAUACACAAAUAAAUAUAAUAUAACAACAUAAGCUUGCUUUCCCCGAUUCAUAUGAAUACUUUUUAAGUUAUCCACCAAAGCACAUUAAUUAAAUCAAUCAAAUUGUUAGAAUACAACAAAUUUAUAUAUAAUUUUAUUUUAAAUUAAAUUAUUUAAAAAGUGUAUUUUCAUUAAACAAAAAUAAUAAAUAAGUAAAACUGAUUUGAUGAUAAUUUUUAUGACAUAUAUAUAUAUAUAUAUAUAUUAUGUGAAAGAAAUAUAAGCUUAAUAUGGAAAAAAAUCUUAAAUACAAAAAAACUCUGAAAUUAACAAAAAAACUAAUAAAAAUUAAACUACGAUAUCAAUUGAAAGCUUCUUAGACAAUAUUAAUAAAAUAUUUAAGCGAUAAAAGGGGGAUAUAAGCUCUCCUUAGAGUGUCCACGUAGGCACAAAAAAUCGUCCAAUCAGAAAGUCCGAAGUUGCCACGUCAUCACAUUUAUUUUUUGUAAAAAUGAAAAAACAAUGCAAAGGUAAGGAUCAAACCCGGGUUAGUAUGACAUAAAUAUAUGGCAGAUACCACUAAGCCAUUGAAACUUUCUUGGACACAUAUACAAGAAUCACUAAAUAUGUAAUCACACUCUUAUGUACAUUUACAAUAAUAUGGAUUCAACUUUCAAGACUCCGAUGCUUUCUUUUAUAAAAAAAAAAAGUAAGUGACUAAGCUAAUAUAUUCUUUGAAAGUGUGAGAACAUUGACAAAUAUGAAAAAUCAUAGAUUUUUAUUUUCGUGACAAAGUUAACAAUUUUGUAAAAGUAAGUAUAACAGAUAAAUUUUCGUGACAAAUAUGAAAAAGCAUAGAUUUUUGUACAAUUUUGACAAAACAACUUAAAACAUAGUUCUUUAAUGUCUUAAUAAAAUAUUAUUUAAGGGUGCAAUAAUUAAAUAUAUCAAUUCAAUAAAUUUUGUAAUUUAUAGACAAAACAAUAACACAACAAAUUUUGAAACAUUUGUUUAACCUAUCGAUUUCUUUUCAUGAGAAUUCAACUAAACAAGAUAAAAAACAAUUAGAUUUAUUUAAUUACAAUUUUAUUCAAUUUUGAUUAAUUUCAAAUUGUAAUAAUGUAUCUUUUUGAAGUUACAAAAAAAUAAAGUUUUUUCUUUAUUACACUAGCAUUAUAUAUAGAUUCCAUAUACACAAAUAAAUAUAAUAUAACAACAUAAGCUUGCUUUCCCCGAUUCAUAUGAAUACUUUUUAAGUUAUCCACCAAAGCACAUUAAUUAAAUCAAUCAAAUUGUUAGAAUACAACAAAUUUAUAUAUAAUUUUAUUUUAAAUUAAAUUAUUUAAAAAGUGUAUUUUCAUUAAACAAAAAUAAUAAAUAAGUAAAACUGAUUUGAUGAUAAUUUUUAUGACAUAUAUAUAUAUAUAUAUAUUAUGUGAAAGAAAUAUAAGCUUAAUAUGGAAAAAAAUCUUAAAUACAAAAAAACUCUGAAAUUAACAAAAAAACUAAUAAAAAUUAAACUACGAUAUCAAUUGAAAGCUUCUUAGACAAUAUUAAUAAAAUAUUUAAGCGAUAAAAGGGGGAUAUAAGCUCCCCUUAGAGUGUCCACGUAGGCACAAAAAAUCGUCCAAUCAGAAAUUCCGAAGUUGCCACGUCAUCACAUUUAUUUUUUGUAAAAAUGAAAAAACAAUGCAAAGGUAAGGAUCAAACCCGGGUUAGUAUGACAUAAAUAUAUGGCAGAUACCACUAAGCCAUUGAAACUUUCUUGGACACAUAUACAAGAAUCACUAAAUAUGUAAUCACACUCUUAUGUACAUUUACAAUAAUAUGGAUUCAAC
rnacentral:lncRNA from 1 species